UGUAUAAUGGGUCAGCGACUUAUAUUCUGUAGCAAGGUUAACCGUAUAGGGGAGCCGAAGGGAAACCGAGUCUUAACUGGGCGUUAAGUUGCAGGGUAUAGACCCGAAACCCGGUGAUCUAGCCAUGGGCAGGUUGAAGGUUGGGUAACACUAACUGGAGGACCGAACCGACUAAUGUUGAAAAAUUAGCGGAUGACUUGUGGCUGGGGGUGAAAGGCCAAUCAAACCGGGAGAUAGCUGGUUCUCCCCGAAAGCUAUUUAGGUAGCGCCUCGUGAACUCAUCUUCGGGGGUAGAGCACUGUUUCGGCUAGGGGGCCAUCCCGGCUUACCAACCCGAUGCAAACUACGAAUACCGAAGAAUGUUAUCACGGGAGACACACGGCGGGUGCUAACGUCCGUCGUGAAGAGGGAAACAACCCAGACCGCCAGCUAAGGUCCCAAAGUCAUGGUUAAGUGGGAAACGAUGUGGGAAGGCACAGACAGCCAGGAUGUUGGCUUAGAAGCAGCCAUCAUUUAAAGAAAGCGUAAUAGCUCACUGGUCGAGUCGGCCUGCGCGGAAGAUGUAACGGGGCUAAACCAUGCACCG
rnacentral:rRNA from 1 species